GUAGGUGGCAAGCGUUGUCCGGAAUUAUUGGGCGUAAAGCGCGCGCAGGCGGUUCUUUAAGUCUGAUGUGAAAGCCCACGGGCUCAACCGUGGAGGGUCAUUGGAAACUGGAGAACUUGAGUACAGAAGAGGAAAGCGGAAUUCCACGUGUAGCGGUGAAAAUGCGUAGAGAUGUGGAGGAACACCAGUGGCGAAGGCGGCUUUCUGGUCUGUAACUGACGCUGAGGCGCGAAAGCGUGGGGAGCAAACAGGAUUAGAUACCCUGGUAGUCCACGCCGUAAACGAUGAGUGCUAAGUGUUAGGGGGUUUCCGCCCCUUAGUGCUGCAGCUAACGCAUUAAGCACUCCGCCUGGGGAGUACGGCCGCAAAGGCUG
rnacentral:rRNA from 1 species